AAGGUGAUCAUUUUCUCUCAACCCAAAAUAAAACAUCUCCAGAAAAGGAAAAGAGAUAGAAAGAUAAGGAAAAGAGAUAGAAAGAUAACAAUGUCGGCACAGAAGAUUCAAUUUGCUUCUUUGAUCCUAGCUUUUUCUCUUCUGUUUUCUCAAUCAACUGGUGAGUGUAACUAUAGAUACCCAGUACCACCCGUAGCAAUUUGUAAGAAGAAUGACGACUGCAAGAACGCGUGCGUGCCGCCUUCAGAAGAUCCAAAUUAUCUAGAGUGCAUUACUUCCCGUUCUCCCCCAAAGUAUUUUGGCACAUGUUGUUGUUUACUAAAAGAAAAAUAGUCUUACCUAUCAUAAGAUUUAAUAUCAAUCUAAAAAAUAAUGUUUGCAUCGUUUGAAA